UGGGCUUUCCUACCUCGAACUCCGUACGUCAUGACCAUAUAUAGGCGAUGACACGUCGAAGACAAAACCAUUUCGCUCAUAUUCAUGAUUGGAGAAAGACUGGGAAUAUUGUCAAAGCCCUAGAAAGAUCUCCGGAGUUUAUCAUUCACAAUGCCCCAGGGAAAGGAAACCAAGGUCGAGCUAGACCAGUUAAACGCCACAAUGGUCCUCCAUCUUGACCAAUCGAUCACCGUUAGUCAGGUCAACGCCAUAAAAACCUACCUUCAAGGAAAUCAUGGCAUCUCAAACGUCCGGGCCUUAGAAAAGGAAAACUCCGUUGCCGACCUUGUAAACUUAUUGAUUAGUUCGGGUGACCAAUACUGCCAGUUGUGAUGAAACCCUCAACGCCAACCAAGCAAGUGGCAUGAACCGUGUGAACCAAAUGGAUUAUGAUGAAGAUGCAAAAUAAAAUAAAAUAAUCAUAUCAUAUCAUAUCGUCUCGUACUCCAAAUCAAAGUUACUAAAUUGAAUGUCAAAAUCGUGUUAUAGUGUAUAAUGUAUUGUCAAAACACAUCCGAAUAUUUAAAUUGAAUCAGAAAAAAGCUUAUGUUCUAAACACUGUUUUUCUUUUUAAUUGGUUUUAUUGUUUGCCAUAUUGUGUCAUGUGCCUUCGUGUACCUCCGAUUGCCAGUUCAGGUCACAUUGUCAUUUAUUACUCACUAAUUGACUUAAAGAUGCAUUCAAAGCACUAAAAUUCAUUUUUGAUUUCACAAUUUCAAUUUCAUCUGUUUAUAAACCAUUUGGUUAAUAGAGUGUUUAAAAAAAGAAUCCAUAUAUAAUUAAACACGAUGUGUAACUUGCCUGUACAAGUCAGAGGUAUUCACAGGCCUUUCACCAUUAUAUGCCUUUCAUUUUAAAUGACAACGCCAUCAGUUAUACAAUCUUAGGUAUAUCCACAUAUCCCCAGGAAGGUGUUAGGUGUUCAUCUCAUGAUACAAAUGGUGAUAAAAUAUAUCUAGUACAGUCAAUCUUUGAAAUUGUUUAAGACCAAUAAAAAUCG